rnacentral:rRNA from 1 species
UUGAACGCUGGCGGCAGGCCUAACACAUGCAAGUCGAACGGUAACAGGAAGCAGCUUGCUGCUUUGCUGACGAGUGGCGGACGGGUGAGUAAUGUCUGGGAAACUGCCUGAUGGAGGGGGAUAACUACUGGAAACGGUAGCUAAUACCGCAUAACGUCGCAAGACCAAAGAGGGGGACCUUCGGGCCUCUUGCCAUCGGAUGUGCCCAGAUGGGAUUAGCUUGUUGGUGGGGUAACGGCUCACCAAGGCGACGAUCCCUAGCUGGUCUGAGAGGAUGACCAGCCACACUGGAACUGAGACACGGUCCAGACUCCUACGGGAGGCAGCAGUGGGGAAUAUUGCACAAUGGGCGCAAGCCUGAUGCAGCCAUGCCGCGUGUAUGAAGAAGGCCUUCGGGUUGUAAAGUACUUUCAGCGGGGGGGAAGGGAGUAAAGUUAAUACCUUUACUCAUUGACGUUACCCGCAGAAGAAGCACCGGCUAACUCCGUGCCAGCAGCCGCGGUAAUACGGAGGGUGCAAGCGUUAAUCGGAAUUACUGGGCGUAAAGCGCACGCAGGCGGUUUGUUAAGUCAGAUGUGAAAUCCCCGGGCUCAACCUGGGAACUGCAUCUGAUACUGGCAAGCUUGAGUCUCGUAGAGGGGGGUAGAAUUCCAGGUGUAGCGGUGAAAUGCGUAGAGAUCUGGAGGAAUACCGGUGGCGAAGGCGGCCCCCUGGACGAAGACUGACGCUCAGGUGCGAAAGCGUGGGGAGCAAACAGGAUUAGAUACCCUGGUAGUCCACGCCGUAAACGAUGUCGACUUGGAGGUUGUGCCCUUGAGGCGUGGCUUCCGGAGCUAACGCGUUAAGUCGACCGCCUGGGGAGUACGGCCGCAAGGUUAAAACUCAAAUGAAUUGACGGGGGCCCGCACAAGCGGUGGAGCAUGUGGUUUAAUUCGAUGCAACGCGAAGAACCUUACCUGGUCUUGACAUCCACGGAAGUUUUCAGAGAUGAGAAUGUGCCUUCGGGAACCGUGAGACAGGUGCUGCAUGGCUGUCGUCAGCUCGUGUUGUGAAAUGUUGGGUUAAGUCCCGCAACGAGCGCAACCCUUAUCCUUUGUUGCCAGCGGUCCGGCCGGGAACUCAAAGGAGACUGCCAGUGAUAAACUGGAGGAAGGUGGGGAUGACGUCAAGUCAUCAUGGCCCUUACGACCAGGGCUACACACGUGCUACAAUGGCGCAUACAAAGAGAAGCGACCUCGCGAGAGCAAGCGGACCUCAUAAAGUGCGUCGUAGUCCGGAUUGGAGUCUGCAACUCGACUCCAUGAAGUCGGAAUCGCUAGUAAUCGUGGAUCAGAAUGCCACGGUGAAUACGUUCCCGGGCCUUGUACACACCGCCCGUCACACCAUGGGAGUGGGUUGCAAAAGAAGUAGGUAGCUUAACCUUCGGGAGGGCGCUUACCACUUUGUGAUUCAUGACUGGGGUG